UACGGAGGGUGCAAGCGUUACUCGGAAUUACUGGGCGUAAAGCGUGCGCAGGCGGUUUGUUAAGUCCGCUGUGAAAUCCCCGAGCUCAACUUGGGAAUUGCAGUGGAUACUGGCAAGCUGGAGUACGGUAGAGGAAGGUGGAAUUCCCGGUGUAGCAGUGAAAUGCGUAGAGAUCGGGAGGAACACCAGUGGCGAAGGCGGCCAUCUGGGACAACACUGACGCUGAAGCACGAAAGCGUGGGGAGCAAACAGG
rnacentral:rRNA from 1 species